GGAAAACUUAAAGCUGGCUGAUCCUGA
rnacentral:piRNA from 1 species